CUGAGCCAGAUGCCGUACACGGGUGAAUCCGGUGACAUGUGAAAUGCGUCUUAGUAAAGGCGAAGGAACAAAGAAGGAGCUGAGGUGGUGGGGCAGUGGGAAAAGUGAUUACUUUCAAGUGCGAGGACCCAGAUUCAGUCUCCAGAACUGUGUAGAAAAUUUUGGAGUGGAGGUGCAUAAUCCCAAGACUGAGGGCCCAUAACUUCCCCAAACACUGCCACCAGCUAGGACCAAGUGCACAUACAUGAACCUAUGAAGACAUUCUGCAUUCACAUCGCUGUACCUCAUCUCAAGACACAGAUGGGGGUCAGGGAGAUGGCUUAGCGUGAAAGCACUUAUCAUAGGAUAUCACUCUGUAGCCCUGGCUGGUCUGGAA